rnacentral:rRNA from 1 species
AAUGAACGCUGGCGGCAUGCCUAACACAUGCAAGUCGAACGAACGGACGAUAAGCGUGCUCCCCUAACGUUAGCGGCUGACGGGUGAGUAACACGUGGAUAACCUUCCUCUAAUACUGGGAUAACUUCGGGAAACCGCUGCCAAUACCGGAGAAUAUAUUGUACGGCAUGGUUCAAUAGUUAAUCGCGGCUUUCCUGUCUCUUAUAGCUGAUUCCGCGCCGCAUUAGCUAGUUGGUAAGGUAACGGCUUACCAAGGCAACGAUGCGUAGCCGACCUGAGAGGGUGAUCGGCCACACUGGAACUGAGACACGGUCCAGACUCCUACGGGAGGCAGCAGUAGGGAAUAUUGGGCAAUGGGCGAAAGCUUGACGGAGCAAUGCCGCGUGAGUGAAGAAGGCCUUCGGAUCGUAAAACCCUUUUAUUAGGGAAGAACAACUGUGUAUGUAACUAUGCACGUUUUGACGGUACCCAAUCAGAAAGCCCCGGCUAACUUCGUG